CAUGAGAGUUGGAGAUACCCGAAGCCUGUGAGCUAACUUUUAGAGGCAGCAGUCGAAGGUAGAACCAAUGAUUGGGGUGAAGUCGUAACAAGGUAGC
rnacentral:rRNA from 1 species